rnacentral:rRNA from 1 species
AGCUCCAAUAGCGUAUAUUAAAGUUGUUGCAGUUAAAAAGCUCGUAGUUGGAUUUCGGGACGGGCCAGUUGGUCCGCCGCAAGGUGUGUACUGACUGGUCUGUUCUUCUUCGCAAAGACUGCGUGUGCUCUUUAUUGAGUGUGCGUAGGAUUUACGACGUUUACUUUGAAAAAAUUAGAGUGUUCAAAGCAGGCUUAGGCCGUUGGAUACAUUAGCAUGGAAUAAUGAGACAGGGCCACCGCGGUCUAUUUUGUUGGUUUGCACGUUGUGGCAAUGAUUAACAGGAACGGUUGGGGGUAUUCGUAUUCAACUGUCAGAGGUGAAAUUCUUGGAUUUGUGGAAGACGAACUACUGCGAAAGCAUUUACCAAGGAUGUUUUCAUUAAUCAAGAACGAAAGUA